CGAAGUAGGAAUUAGCGCGUUAAGUUGUCAGUGGCUGGGGAGUCGCCCUGAACCGAAGAGCCUCAUGAUCUUAUCAUGCAGGCUUGCGAUGCUUUUUCCGCACCCGUUG
rnacentral:ncRNA from 1 species